rnacentral:rRNA from 1 species
CCGCGGUAUCCUGGCCGUGCGAAAGUAGCGUAAUCACUCGUCUUUUAAAUAAAGACUAGAAUGAAUGGCUAAACGAGGUCCUACCUGUCUCUUACAAACAAUCAGUGAAAUUGAUCCCCUCGUGAAAAAGCGAGAAUAAUAACAUAAGACGAGAAGACCCCGUGGAAUUUUAAAUACGGUUUAACCACUAUUAAAUUUAUACCCAAGGAAAUAUUACCAUUAUUGAGUUUAACCCUACUUUUGGUUGGGGUGACCUCGGAGAACAAAAAAACCUCCGAAAACUACUACCAAGAUAUAACAAACCUAAGUGUCUUCGACAAAACGAUCCAAUAUAUUUGAUCAACGAACCAAACUACCCCGGGGAUAACAGCGCAAUCCCCUCUUAGAGUCCCUAUCGACGAUGGGGGUUUACGACCUCGAUGUUGGAUCAGGACAUCCUAAUG